rnacentral:lncRNA from 1 species
CUGUCCUCUCACACCAAGGAGGGCUGCUUCUCACCUCCCUGUUUCUGGUCUUCUUCUUGCCACACAAGCUGGCUGUCAGAGUGCCUAGAAGCUCAGCAAGUUGUGGGUCAGCUGCAGGGGGUGCUGGUUUAUAGGGCCCAGAGCAAAGGCGGGGCAGUGGUGGCCACUGUGACCUCAGCAAGCCUCUGUGAUGGAGUGGCCUAAGCGUGGCCAAAGGUGGCUUUGUUGGGAGUGGCCUGGAAGAUACCCUCACAUGGAAGAAGGAGGAGGGCUGGGGGGGGGCUGAGGGCACCUUUUCUAGGGACAAAUAAAAUAAAAUAAAAUAAAAAUGUGACCUACAUGCAGGUUUGUAAAUAAAAUAUGUUCCAGUGAAACUUUUGACUUCUCCAGGACUCCAGAUAGGCCCUGAGGAAUGCCAAAUCAAAAAAUGAGAAAGAAGCCAGUUGAUUUGUAGAAUACCUAACAGUCUAUUGUGACAUUGCAAUAGAGAUCUAACAUCAAACAUCAGAGAGAGUGAAAGGAAUUGCAAGUAAGACACUUUGACCUUUGUUAUGGAACAUGUUUGUUUAUUGUUUGUUUGUUUGGUUGGUUGGUCUUGUUUAUUGUUUCAUUUUCAUGUUUAUUUCAGAAAAAAAAAAGAAAAAAAUCCUAUUAUUUCAUCCUCUUUAAAAGAGCUGCCUAUACUCAAUGAUAUGUUCAGAGUGUUUUGUGCCACUCUGCCAAUGGAUGAAAGUAGUAGUUACACUGGGACCACAAACAUUUUGUACAAAAUGUUCUGAGUUGCAGAAAACAGACAAGGUCUCUCUGAAAAGAAGUCCCUGGAUAACUCACAUAAAUUUGAAUUCUACAAGAGGAAUGAGAAACAAAAGAGAUGAAGGACAUAAAGGCAUUGUUGUAUCAACUUCCUCUGCACUGCUAACACAUAUGGAACUAUUACUGUUGCUGAUUUGUAAAGGUGCUUUGCAGAUGAUUUGUAGAUUACACUAAAUUAAAGUACAGUGCUUUUUCAGGAACUGUUUUAUGUUAUACCUUUAUCAUAUCACAUUCAUCAACAACACAGGAUGAAUGUAAAUAAAAUAGAAUGCCAAAAUUAUUUUGCA